AUUGAACGCUGGCGGCAUGCCUUACACAUGCAAGUCGAACGGCAGCACGGGUGCUUGCACCUGGUGGCGAGUGGCGAACGGGUGAGUAAUACAUCGGAACAUGUCCUGUAGUGGGGGAUAGCCCGGCGAAAGCCGGAUUAAUACCGCAUACGAUCUACGGAUGAAAGCGGGGGACCUUCGGGCCUCGCGCUAUAGGGUUGGCCGAUGGCUGAUUAGCUGGUUGGUGGGGUAAAGGCCUACCAAGGCGACGAUCAGUAGCUGGUCUGAGAGGACGACCAGCCACACUGGGACUGAGACAACGCCCAGACUCCUACGGGAAGGAGCAGUGGGGAAAUUUGGACAAUGGGCGAAAGCCUGAUCCAGCAAUGCCGCGUGUGUGAAGAAGGCCUUCGGGUUGUAAAGCACUUUUGUCCGGAAAGAAAUCCUUGGCCCUAAUACGGUCGGGGGAUGACGGUACCGGAAGAAUAAGCACCGGCUAACUACGUG
rnacentral:rRNA from 1 species